GACGAACGCUGGCGGCGUGCUUAACACAUGCAAGUCGAACGGAAAGGCCCUGCUUUUGUGGGGUGCUCGAGUGGCGAACGGGUGAGUAACACGUGAGUAACCUGCCCUUGACUUUGGGAUAACUUCAGGAAACUGGGGUUAAUACCGGAUAGGAGAUCCUGCUGCAUGGUGGGGGUUGGAAAGUUUCGGCGGUUGGGGAUGGACGCGCGGGUUAUCAGCUUGUUGGUGGGGUAGUGGCUUACCAAGGCUUUGACGGGUAGCCGGCCUGAGAGGGUGACCGGGCACCAUGGGACUGAGAGACGGACCAGACGGCUAUGGGAGGCAGCAGUGGGGAACAUUGCACAAUGGGCGGAAGCCGGAUGCAGCAACGCCGCGUGUGGGAUGACGGCCUGCGGGUUGUGAACAGCUUUCGCCUGAGACGAAGCGUGAGUGACGGUAAUGGGUGAAGAAGCACCGGCUAACUACGUG
rnacentral:rRNA from 1 species